GGCUGCCACGUUCGAGUUAAAUCAAUCGUCAUUUCGUCGAUACCUUCAGUUUUUAUUAUCGAAAAAACUUAAUAAUCUUGUAAAAUAUGGCAAAGAUGUGCUAUCUAGCGAUCGUGUGACUAAUGUCGUUUAUAAAAUUGACUGCAAUGACUGUUCGGCAUCAUAUAUA